CUAAUGUUUUAAAUUAUUUGCAGACAAGGUGUGCAUGGCUUCCCAAAUAUUAUCAGCAAAUAAGUCAUAAUUUCGAGAAAAAAGCUGUUGAUCGGCUUAAAAAUCUCCUUUAUAAAGCUUGACUCGCCGGCUGGAUACUAAAAGACAUAUGGGAUAGACUUAAUGUGAUAUGGGCUUCUGAAGAAUUUAAGAAGAGGAGCAAUGCUGCAAAGGCUGCCCGAGCCUCCAAUACGGGUGACUCAUUGCACACCGAGGGUUCAAUUAGUAUGGAGACCCAUCGAAGGAGAAUGGAAAAGGAAAAAGGGAGACUUGUGACUUAUGCUGAGGUCUUUGAGGACAAACAUA